UGGCGAGUGGCGAACGGGUGAGUAACAUAUUGGAACGUACCGAGUAAUGGGGGAUAACUGUCCGAAAGGAUGGCUAAUACCGCAUACGCUCUACGGAGGAAAGCGGGGGACCUUAGGGGCCUCGCGUUAUUGAGCGGCCAAUAUCUGAUUAGCUAGUUGGUGGGGUAAGGGCCCACCAAGGCGACGAUCAGUAGCGGGUCUGAGAGGAUGAUCCGCCACACUGGGACUGAGACACGGCCCAG
rnacentral:rRNA from 1 species